AUUGAACGCUGGCGGCAGGCCUAACACAUGCAAGUCGAACGGCAGCACAGAAGAGCUUGCUCUUUGGGUGGCGAGUGGCGGACGGGUGAGUAAUGUCUGGGGAUCUGCCCGAUAGAGGGGGAUAACCACUGGAAACGGUGGCUAAUACCGCAUAACGUCGCAAGACCAAAGAGGGGGACCUUCGGGCCUCUCACUAUCGGAUGAACCCAGAUGGGAUUAGCUAGUAGGCGGGGUAAUGGCCCACCUAGGCGACGAUCCCUAGCUGGUCUGAGAGGAUGACCAGCCACACUGGAACUGGGACACGGUCCAGACUCCUACGGGAGGCAGCAGUGGGGAAUAUUGCACAAUGGGCGCAAGCCUGAUGCAGCCAUGCCGCGUGUAUGAAGAAGGCCUUCGGGUUGUAAAGUACUUUCAGCGGGGAGGAAGGCGAUGUGGUUAAUAACCUUGUCGAUUGACGUUACCCGCAGAAGAAGCACCGGCUAACUCCGUGCCAGCCGCCGCCGUAA
rnacentral:rRNA from 1 species